GAUGAACGCUGGCGGCGUGCCUAAUACAUGCAAGUAGAACGCUGAAGGAAGGAGCUUGCUCUUUCCGGAUGAGUUGCGCACGGGUGAGUAACGCGUAGGUAACCUGCCUGGUAGCGGGGGAUAACUAUUGGAAACGAUAGCUAAUACCGCAUAACAGUAGAUGUUGCAUGACAACUAUUUGAAAGGGGCAAUUGCUCCACUACCAGAUGGACCUGCGUUGUAUUAGCUAGUUGGUGAGGUAACGGCUCACCAAGGCGACGAUACAUAGCCGACCUGAGAGGGUGAUCGGCCACACUGGGACUGAGACACGGCCCAGACUCCUACGGGAGGCAGCAGUAGGGAAUCUUCGGCAAUGGACGGAAGUCUGACCGAGCAACGCCGCGUGAGUGAAGAAGGUUUUCGGAUCGUAAAGCUCUGUUGUAAGAGAAGAACGAGUGUGAGAGUGGAAAGUUCACACUGUGACGGUAUCUUACCAGAAAGGGACGGCUAACUACGUG
rnacentral:rRNA from 1 species